CCUACGGGGGGCAGCAGUGGGGGAUAUUGCACAAUGGGGGAAACCCUGAAGCAGCAACGCCGCGUGGGUGAUGAAGGUCCUCGGAGUGUAAACUCCUUUUAUUAGGGAAGAAAAUGACGGUACCUGACGAAGAAGCACCGGCUAACUACGUGCCAGCAGCCGCGGUAAUACGUAGGGUGCAAGCGUUACUCGGAUUUACUGGGCGUAAAGGGGGCGUAGGCGGGGUAGCAAGACAGGUGUGAAAGCCUGGGGCCGAACCAUGGGACUGCUGUUGAAACUGCUAUUCUAGAGUGUGGGAGGGGCAGGUGGAAGUCUUGGUGUAGGGGUGAAAUGCGUAGAGAUCAAGAGGAACACCGAUUGCGAAGGCGGCCUGCUGGACCAUAACUGACGUUGAGGCGCGAAAGCGUGGGGAGCAAACAGGAUUAGAUACCCCGGUAGUC
rnacentral:rRNA from 1 species